rnacentral:lncRNA from 1 species
UAAAUCUAGUAAGUUGUUUAGAUGUUGAUAAUUGUAUGAAGGUGGCGAUUGCUGUGGGGAUUCCUGUGGGCAGUGCCAGUACAAUCAGCGCUUGUAUGAAAACGGCCAAACGUUCAAGGACCCAGAUGAUGCCUGUAAGACGUGCACUUGUCAGGAUGGUCAGGCAACAUGUGGUUCACCUGCAUGUCCCCAACCGAGGUGUGCUAAUGCAUACACUCCUCCUGGAGAGUGCUGUCCCCGGUGUCCAGGAUGUACUUGGAAUGGUGUUCAAUAUGAAGAAGGAGCCACAUGGACUGACGCUGGCCAAACAUGUUUUUGUGUGGGUGGACAGGUGACGUGUAGUAGGCCUAAAAGGGGCUCGGACUGUCCCAAAAUGACCCCCGC